UACAGAGGUCUCAAGCGUUGUUCGGAUUCAUUGGGCGUAAAGGGUGCGCAGGUGGCGCGGCAAGUCGGAUGUGAAAUCCCGGAGCUUAACUUCGGAACUGCAUUCGAUACUGCCGGACUGGAGUACUGGAGAGGAGAUCGGAAUUUACGGUGUAGCAGUGAAAUGCGUAGAUAUCGUAAGGAAGACCAGUGGCGAAGGCGGAUCUCUGGACAGUUACUGACACUGAGGCACGAAGGCCAGGGGAGCAAACGGG
rnacentral:rRNA from 1 species